GAUACUUCUUUCCUUCCUCUCUCACCUCCUUCCUGCUGAGGGCUCCUAUACUGCCAGGAUCGGUGUCCAUGCAGGUUCCUUAAUGGUGAGGAGUGUGAGUGAAUGGUGAAUUUGAUCAUAUUCAGGAUUUAAAGAAAUAGUGACAAAAACACAUUCCAAAUCUGAAAAAUCCAACCAGCUCUCAUGUUCCCUCAUGUAUCCUGUAUUCCUGGAUUGCGGCAGUUAUGAUAGUCAGAUAUGGCGUGAGAAGGGUGUGGAAAAU